rnacentral:rRNA from 1 species
GACGAACGCUGGCGGCGUGCCUAACACAUGCAAGUCGAGCGGAAAGGCCCUGCUUUUGUGGGGUGCUCGAGUGGCGAACGGGUGAGUAACACGUGAGUAACCUGCCCUUCACUUUGGGAUAACUUCAGGAAACUGGGGCUAAUCCCGGAUAGGAGCUCCUGCUGCAUGGUGGGCGUUGGAAAGUUUCGGCGGUUGGGGAUGGACUCGCGGCUUAUCAGCUUGUUGGUGGGGUAGUGGCUUACCAAGGCUUUGACAGGUAGCCGGCCUGAGAGGGUGACCGGCCACAUUGGGACUGAGAUACGACCCAGACUCCUACGGGAGGCAACAGUGGAGAGUAUUGCACAAUGGGCGGGAGUCUGAUGCAGCAACGCCGCGUGCGGGAAGACGGCCUUCGGGUUGUAAACCGCUGUCGCCUGUGACGAAGCGUGAGUGACGGUAAUGGGUAAAUAAGCACCGGCUAACUACGUG